rnacentral:rRNA from 1 species
ACGAACGCUGGCGGCUGCUUAACACAUGCAAGUCGAACGGAGUGGCGAACGGGUGAGUAACGCGUGAGCAACCUGCCUAUGACAGUGGGAUAGCCUCGGGAAACCGGGAUUAAUACCGCAUAUGCAUAGAUGGGCUCGCGUCUGAUUAGCUAGUUGGUGAGAUAACAGCUCACGAAUGCGACGAUAAGUAGCCGGUCUGAGAGGAUGAACGGUCACAUUGGAACUGAGACACGGUCCAAACUCCUACGUGAGGCAGCAGUGGGGAAUAUUGCACAAUGGGGGAAACCCUGAGGCAGCGACGCCGCGUGAACGAAGAAGGUAUUCGUAUCGUAAAGUUCUGUCCUAUGGGAAGCAGUACCAUAGAAGAAAGCUCCGGCUAAAUACGUGCCAGCAGCCGCGGUAAUUC